CCCUUAGAUGUCCUGGGCCGCACGCGCGUUACACUGAUGCAUUCAACGAGCUUAUAACCUUGGCCGAGAGGCCUGGGCAAUCUUGUUAACGUGCAUCGUGAUAGGGAUAGAUUAUUGCAAUUAUUAGUCUUGAACGAGGAAUUCCUAGUAAGCACAAGUCAUCAGCUUGUGUUGAUUACGUCCCUGCCCUUUGUACACACCGCCCGUCGCUCCUACCGAUUGAAUGUUCCGGUGAGCUCUUCGGACUGCGCGGUCUGCAGUUUCUGCGUUCCGUGCGGAAAGUUGUGCAAACCUUAACAUUUAGAGGAAGGAGAAGUCGUAACA
rnacentral:rRNA from 1 species